GGCAGUACAGGGGGCUCCAACCAGGGCCUCAUGCAUGCUAGGCAGGCACUUGAUCACUGAGCUAUAUCCUCAGUCCUUUGAUAUACUUUCAUAUUUGAUUCUAUCCUGCUGCUAUUGCCACCUACCUUUUCUUUUCAACUUGUGUGAUCUCUGUCUUAGUUUUCUGUUAUGUAUCCUACAUGAUGCCUAGCCUAUUGAAAAUAAUCAAAAUAUUUCUCAUGGAAAUAGCAAAAGUUAUUGCUUUAAAAACCAGUGAAAGGCUCAUUUGGAAACAGGCAUGGCGGCCUCCAGGUUUUUUAGGACAUUUAGUUCAUUCGCCUGUCCCUUCAGCCAUCCGUCACCGCAUUUUGAAAGGCUGUAGGCAAGAAAAUGAUAUAAAUAUUUCUAGACUCAGUUAAUUGGCUCUAGCUAUAUGAACUGUGGAGCUUUCUGUCCUGGUUAUCUCAUUUUUUUUCCCUUUAAUUGUGGCUGUUUUAUGACCCUUAGCACAGACAACAAGGCACUAAUGUGGCCUCAAGCAAUAAGAAGGGAUGAUCUCCAGAGCCCAUGGAACUGGAUUUGCCUGGAACUUUCUGAGGCAGUUCCUUUUUAAAGAGCUUAUUUUUUCUUUGCCAUAGUUAAACCGUGAAGAAUGGUCCUUUUAAGGGCUAUGGUUUUGUUGUCCACUUGACCCUGUUCUGAUCUUGUUUCCACUUUAAGGUCUCCAUUUCUAAGUCUUGCAUAUGUGCUGGAACUUUGAGAUUCAGGUGAAGUUGUAAGCUGGGCUUCUUUCAAACCUAGGGUAGUACUUGUCCUACCCAUAUUUACUGGCCAGAGGAGGGUCAGGAGUAAGUCUGUCAUAUCCUCACUAGGUUAAAAAAAAAAUCUUUCUAUCAUAGCUGGUGUCCAAGAGAGGAUCUCAGUUCAUUUCCAAAGCGGGCAGAGGAGGAAAGGAAAGAAUGCCUUUGAUAUUGAUAUCAUUGAAAUGAGUCAUGCAAGUCUUUUUACUUUUGACAUUUAUUCUCUCUUCCAAUAUUAUCUUGAUGCUAAUUCUGAAAAAAAAAAAGUUUUUCUCCUUUGUAAUUUGAACAGGAAAAGAUCCUAUUGUAAAAACACUGUAUUCUCUUUCUCCUUUUUUGUAUGUAUAAUUAUUAAGGCUAAGGAUAGAUUAAAAUUAUUCCAGAGGGUUUUAACGAACUUACUAAAAAAGCUUAAUAGUGGUUAAAUUCUCCUUCAGGUAGAAGCUCCAUGUUACAGGAAGCAGCAGAUCGUGAGCCAUUUCUGUUUCUAGCUCCCUUUUACCUGGGAUACUUUCAGGUCCAUUGUCACUUGGGGAGGAGAGCAUACCAGGUAACUUAUCCCCGAGUUCACUGGAGUAUGAACCUAGGAGCACUCUACCACUCACAUCCCCAUCCCUUUUUUAUUUUUCACAUUGAGAAGGGUCUUGUUCAGUUGUUUAGGGCCUCACUAAGUUGCUGAGGCUAGCCUUAAACUUGUGAUCCUCCUGCCUCAGCCUCCUGAGUCACUGGGAUUAUAGGCAUGAGCCACCAUGCCCG
rnacentral:lncRNA from 1 species